GGGACAUACCAAGGUAAAGAAAUCGUCCUCAAGGAACUGCAAGUAGACAGAUCUUUUGGGCCCACCGAAUUUUGGAGGGGAAAGGAAUUUCUUAGUGGACUUAGGCAUCCACAUUUGGUACGGUUUCUUGGUGCCAACACACGCAAUGUCGCAGAAGGCACCUUAGGAAUAGUUACAGAAUAUAUCCCUGGUGGCAAUUUGUUUGAUUAUCUCCAAAGAAAUCAUGAAAACUUGACUCUGUCUCAGAGGUUGAAGAUAGCACUUCAAAUUUCUAAAGGUAUUGAGUACCUCCAUGGCCAGUUGAUCAUAC